CUGUGGUAUCGUAUUUUUUUAACAUUUGACAACAUAAAUUUGGUUGGUUCUUGUGCAUAGCCAGCUAAGUAAGAAUAGGCCUUCUUCAACUUCCAUUGCAGCUUCAAACCAAUAAAACCCCCUUUCAUGUACCCAACCAGUGGCUGCCAAAUUAAACUCUUUUUGCCACCAAUGAGUGGGAGAACGUACGUUCUUAUCUUGUUCUUUUGGGCUCUCCUCACCAUCAUCACUCCAACACUCGUUCGACUAUCCGCCUCUGCUAAUCUUUACACUCAAUUUCAUGGCGAAAAGAGGGAAGGGGUGAAGUUAAUAUUGCCGAGAAGGGCACUUGUCCCGACAAUAAUUGCACCAGCACCAACACCAGCACCUGCAUCAGGUGGCCUUUAGGAGUCAUGUAGAGCUGUAUUUAUGAGAAAAAGAGGACGAUAGCACAUAAUCUCGUGUGGGAGGACCGCAUCUCUCUCUCUCCCUCUCUCGCACACACAGAGAGCAAUGAUCUUAGUUUUCAUAAGAAACUUGUAAAGACACUACGC